rnacentral:lncRNA from 1 species
GCCAAUCCUGUCCCCAUCCCACCAAACUUACUUUUCUUCUUUUCCUCCACUUGUCCAUACCCAUAACUACUCCCUUGUCCAUAUGACGACCCGUACCCUGGCUCAUACCCAGUAGUCUGAGGCCCCGCAUUAUAAGGAUAACCACCAGGUGGCGCAGUUUGAGGCCCUGCAUUAUAAGGAUACCCUCCAGGUGGCGCUGCAGAAUAACCAUAAUUCUGCGGCGGUGCACCAUAAGGGUUUCCAUAUCCAGGAGCAGAGGGAUUAUAAUUAUAAUCCCUCGACGACGCCUGAGGUGGAGGAACACCAUAAGGAGGAGCGUAGUACUCACCCGACCCACGAU